UGUGUGUGUUUGUGUGCGCCACGGUUGCGUCACGUUCGGUUUCUGUUUAUCUGUUUUUUGUGAAGGUUUCACUUUAUUAAAGAUGUGGAAUUACACGCACGCUGCACCUUGGCUCAUCUAUGACAGGGAGUUUGAUGACAGUGAACGUGACAAUUCUGGAAAGAUAUACAUUUAAUUUUCGACACAAGUUUAUGAUUGUCAUACAGUUGUAUCAAAUGACUGCUCGCCAUGAGGAGGAUGACAUAUUGGACAUGUUCCCUCUGCUCCAGGAGAACUCGUCUGGGCUUCCAGAUCAUCCUUACCCCAGAGCAGGAUGGCAUCGGAGUCACCCUGCCCAAGGUCACACGCAACUUCUAUGUGAACGGACACUUGCCUGCACACCACUAAGUUCAGGGUAGAGAGAGGCUGAGACCCAAAGAGAGCGGUGAGGAUCAAAGCGAGAACUCGCACUGAGACUAGAUUUCCCGUCCUCUGUCUUGCAAACGCACAUCACUUGAAACACCUUUAACCAGCUCUUCACCUGAAGUCUACACCGUCUUCACCUGGAGUCUACACUGUCUUCACCUGAAGUCUACACCGUCUUCACCUGAAGUCUACACCGUCUUCACCUGGAGUCUACACUGUCUUCACCUGAAGUCUACACUGUCUUCACCUGAAGUCUACACCGUCUUCACCUGUAGUCUACACUGUCUUCACCUGGAGUCUACACCGUCUUCACCUGAAGUCUACACUGUCUUCACCUGAAGUCUACACUGUCUUCACCUGAAGUCUACACCGUCUUCACCUGGAGUCUACACCGUCUUCACCUGAAGUCUACACUGUCUUCACCUGAAGUCUACACCGUCUUCACCUGAAGUCUACACCGUCUUCACCUGAAGUCUACACCGUCUUCACCUGAAGUCUACACCGUCUUCACCUGAAGUCUACACCGUCUUCACCUGGAGUCUACACUGUCUUCACCUGAAGUCUACACUGUCUUCACCUGAAGUCUACACUGUCUUCACCUGAAGUCUACACUGUCUUCACCUGAAGUCUACACUGUCUUCACCUGAAGUCUACACUGUCUUCACCUGAAGUCUACACUGUCUUCACCUGAAGUCUACACUGUCUUCACCUGGAGUCUACACCGUCUUCACCUGGAGUCUACACCGUCUUCACCUGGAGUCUACACCGUCUUCACCUGGAGUCUACACCGUCUUCAUCUGGAGUCUACACCGUCUUCAUCUGGAGUCUACACCGUCUUCAUCUGGAGUCUACACCGUCUUCAUCUGGAGUCUACACCGUCUUCACCUGAAGUCUACACUGUCUUCACCUUGUCAGUUCUGCGUAUCUUCUGUUGCCAGUACAACAUUGAAGUAAAGCAAAUUAACUUGAAGCAAUGAGAUGUAGAUAAUGUGGUUGAUAAUGAAUUUAAAACACAUGUACCUUAUGAUCAUGUAAUGACCAAAAGAGUGCCAAGCUCCACUGCCAGAUAUUUAAAAAUGUGAGCGCUGUGAUAUGUUGCAUCAAUUUGUCUGUUAUAGAAGUUUCAUCGAGCAAAAUAUUUUUGUUGAUGAGAUCUGAAUCUUCUCAAAUAACAUAAAAUCAAAGUACAAUCAUCCAUUCUGGAAUGGGGGUAGUCUAAAGUGACUUGUAUCCAAGCCAAGCUCAUUGGCCACUGUGUAGAACAGGAAACAAUUAAUUGCCCUUUUCCUGUCAAAUGGAAAUCAAACUUUUGGUUUAGUUUGAGGAGAUGUCGUUCUUUUUACUGAAUGAUUGCUUGUUAGUAUUGUUGUUACAAUGCUCUA